UACAGAGGGGGCUAGCGUUGUUCGGAAUCACUGGGUGUAAAGGGUGCGUAGGCGGUCCGUUAAGUCUGAUGUGAAAGCCCUGGGCUCAACUCAGGAAUGGCAUUGGAAACUGGCGGGCUGGAGUACUGGAGAGGGAAGCGGAAUUCCUGGUGUAGCGGUGAAAUGCGUAGAUACCAGGAGGAACACCAGUGGCGAAGGCGACUUCCUGGCCAAGUACUGACGCUGAGGCACGAAAGCGUGGGGAGCGAACGGG
rnacentral:rRNA from 1 species